UACGUAGGGGGCAAGCGUUGUCCGGACUUACUGGGCGUAAAGCGCGUGCAGGCGGAUUGGUAUGUGCCGUGUGAAAGCUCUCAGCUUGCCUGGGAGAGGUCGCGGUAGACAGCCGAUCUGGAGGCUCGGAGAGGUCAGUGGAAUUCCGAGUGUAGAGGUGAAAUUCGUAGAUAUUCGGAAGAACACCAGUGGCGAAGGCGACUUACUGGACACAUAUUGACGCUGAGGUGCGAAAGCGUGGGGAGCAAACAGG
rnacentral:rRNA from 1 species